rnacentral:rRNA from 11 species
AUUUGGGCCUAAAUACCCUACAGGCACCAGAUUCCUUCCGAUCUUGGAAACUAAGUAAGGUCAACUCUGGUUAAUACUUGGAUGGGAGACUACCAACAGAUACCAAGUGCUGUAGACU